UAGCGUAAUCACUUGUCCCCCAAAUAGAGACUAGUAUGAACGGCCAUAUGAGGGCCUAACUGUCUCCUUUAGCUAGUCAAUGAACCUGAUCUUCCAGUACAAAAGCCGGAAUAAACCCAUAAGACGAGAAGACCCUGUGGAGCUUAAGGCCACACACUAAUCACAAUAGUACUCCCCUUUAGUUGGGGCGACUACGGAACAAAACAAAACUUCCGCGCCAAGACAAACGUCCCCACAGCGGCCCACACGCCCACGAACCCCCCAAUGACCCAGUACCACUGAGCAACGAACCAAGUUACCCCAGGGAUAACAGCGCCAUCCUCUUCAAGAGCCCGUAUCGCCAAGAGGGUUUACGACCUCGAUGUUGGAUCAGGACCCCCCGGUGGUGUAGCCGCUACCAAAGGCUCGUUUGUUCAACGAUUAA
rnacentral:rRNA from 1 species